GUCGUUUACUGUGAGGAAAUUAGAGUGUUCAAAGCAGGCUGACGCCUUGAAUACAUUAGCAUGGAAUAAUAAGACAGGACUUCGGGUAUUCUUUUUGAUAUUUUGUUGGUUUGCUUCCGAAGUAAUGAUUAAUAGGGAUGGUCGGGGGUAUUCGUAUUGAAUUGUCAGAGGUGAAAUUCUUGGAUUUAUGCAAGACGAACUACUGCGAAAGCAUUUACCAAGGAUGUUUUCAUUGAUCAAGAACGAAAGUUAGGGGAUCGAAGACGAUUAGAUACCGUCGUAGUCUUAACCAUAAACCAUGCCGACUCGGGAUUGGUGGUCGUUUCUUACCGACUCCAUCAGCACCGUAUGAGAAAUCAAAGUGUUUGGGCUCCGGGGGGAGUAUGGUCGCAAGGCUGAAACUUAAAGGAAUUGACGGAAGGGCACCACCAGGAGUGGAGCUGCGGCUUAAUUUGACUCAACACGGGGAAACUUACCAGGUCCAGACAUAGUAAGGAUUGACAGAUUGAGAGAUCUUUCUAGAUUCUAUGGGUGGUGGUGCAAGGGCGAAUUCCACAGUGGAUAUCAA
rnacentral:rRNA from 1 species